rnacentral:lncRNA from 1 species
UGAGGGAGGAAAGAUGUAUUGACAGGAGUUGGAUCAGAGUCAGGCAAAUUUUGAAGGCCCAGGCAUAAAUUUAGUGUCCACAGGGGCCAGCAGACAGUCACAGUGCACCGUGAGGGGCAGGGCCAUCACACAGCUCAGCUGUCAUAAUGUUAGUGAGUUUGCAGCUCAGAAGGGUGCCCAUGGUUGCAGGGGAGGUGUCGAUUGUGGGAACCGUGGAGACUGUAGCAGCCAGGCUUGGCCCUGACAGUUAUCCCCAUCCAUUUGGGUGGAUCUCCUGACUCCUGCACAGGCCUGCAAGGGAGAAGAAGCACUGAGGACAUCGUGAGGACUUUCAUCUCUCACUCAUGUUUGCUGAGGGUAGAAGGCAUCACCGUGCUUCCUGACCAGGUCCCAGAAUUAAGUAAGCAGGACUUUGGGAUUGCAAUCACCAUUCAUCUCCAGACUUUCACAUCUUCCUUUCACAUGGGAAACUCUGGCCUGGAGCUGCCCCCCUGAAACUCCUCCCUGACCCCUGGCCCUGGGUGUUAUUGCAACCCAGGGAGAAAACACCAAGUACUGGGACACAGAUAAAACUGAAAGAAGUUUAUUAUGCACAUGCAGACUCCACUCUCUAAGAGAAAUGAAGCCCCCU